CCGACUCUUUGCCAACUCUGCUUCGUUUUACAUAUCUGUUUUUCUCCUUUCCUCUCCCUUACCCCUCCCUUUCUCUCAGUUUGGAGGAAUUCUAAGAUCCCCAACAAGCUCAGCUGGGUAACCAGCUGGGUGCAGAAGAACCAGCACAGGCAAUGGGCGGCACAAGCAAAGCCAGCCUGGACACGGGUACCAGCUGAUCUGCAAGCUCUGAAGGGGCUCCUUUAUUUUAUCUUCUCAUUUUUGCUGUUCGGAAAAAUCUCUGCUGAAAGAAGAGAAUGUUUGUAGGAGAAUCAGCUCCAUUAUGUCCACCUAUGAGAGCAUAUAAAUUGGAUUGAAGGACCUACAAGCAUUGAGUCAAGAGCAAACUCAGCAAUAAAUUUCAAUGCUCAGAGGUAUGAAAUACUGGACAAAGCUGCUCUCCUCCAGGAAGCUCUUUCCAACCCCAUCACUUCACAAUGAUUCUUCCUUCUUGUGAACGUGUAUUUCUCUCACAGUCUAUAUCACACAAUGUAGUGCCUGAUGAUAUCCGGGAUUGACUACCUUUUACAUAUUACAAAUACAUGUCUAGACAUUUGACUUCUAGAAAGUAGAGACCACAUCUCCCUUUUACUUUUGAAUCUACCAAAAGAUGAGCACCAUUCUGGGUCCAGAUGAAUGAUUACUAAAAGAUGAAAAAUAUUUCUAAUGAUAAUAGCCAUUCCACUAAAACACUAAUGUAUGAUAAAGCUAACCAUUUAUGAGUGUGUCACGCUGUAUUGAGACUUCAUUCUGUGAUGUCAUAUUUCAGUGUACAUAAUUUGAACCAUGUCAAAUAUUAUGCACCCAGAGCUACACAAUAAAGGGGCCUAUUUAAGACAGUUUUCCCACAUUUGUGCAGAUAAUAUCAUUUAAAACCUACUACUAAAUUUUAAAAUCCCAGAAAUGAAAAGAUAGAGAUGGCUGGUUAAAUAUUUGUUAUUUAUACACAGUAUGUAAAUAAAUCAUAAUAAAAAUACAUUGUAGACAUUCCCACUUAGAAAUUUUCAUGAAAGCAAGCCUUUAAAUCUCUAUUUCUGUUUAAAGAAAAAUGGAACUAUUUUCACAACUCAGUUGCCUAAUGGACUGUACAUAUUUUUUCCAUUGUCUUGAAGGAUGAGCAGAAAUGAAUGGGAGAGGCUAUGUUUGGCAAUGAUAUUACUGAUUAUUGGAAAAUCUUUUACUGUCUUUACUAUACAGACUUCCAGUGAUUUACACAUUGAAUUUGUAAGCAUCAAUCUAUAAUAACAUAUAAAGUAGUUGACAGCAUAAAAAAGUUGAUGGUCAGGAACAGACAGCAGAAAACUCUGUUCAUUGCCAUUUAUCAUGCUAAGAACAGAGGAUAAGAACAAAUAACUCACUGUGCUUUAUUUCUGCAUAAAUACCUCCACACUAUCUCCCUCAGUCUGAGAACCAAGGCCAUGUCCCUGGACACAAAACCCCACUUACUUAGGCAAAACAUCCUGCACAAUAAGAAGUCAGCAUGCUAAGCCUUUGUGUAGGUAUAUGCUUGCUGCGUGCACAUUUGCCAAGACCUUGCAAAUGCCUAUAACUGCAUAAUAGAUAUGGCUACACAUUAAAACUACUGUUUCCAAUCAAGCUCGAUAGCACAAGAAAUUAUUCAUGAACUGGUCCAUGAGUGCAGUUCUUAACCUAACUAGUCUCUCUGACUCAUUGGUAUCCAUGACCUUGGAUGCAUUUAUGACUAUGAUCUAGAAAUGCAAGUGGGAGGAAACACAGACUUCUUCACAAAGCCAGAACAAAUCUCAAGUCUAGGGACGAUGAAGGCUUCCUGCCAGUCAGCCCUAGGGAAAUAGUGCACAGUUCCCAACAUCUUUAUUUUUAUUUACAAAACUGACCUGAAAAACAACUCCAGAUUCUGGUACCUGUUAAAGCAAAUACUUACAGACAAAGAUAAGUGUUGGAGAAGAUUGGCAGCAUAUUUGGGCAAUUACAGGACAGAAUAUGUUUCCAACAUAGCCUUGAAAUUCUUGAUCCACGGUGAGAAAAAAAAACCCUGAGCUGAGACACUAGUUCUGACAGCACAAACUAGUUAGCAGCCUUAAGCAAGAUGACUGAAACUCUGAGGGCAUUUGUUGCCUCACCGUUCAAAUGAUGAUGACACUACAGAACCGUCUACAGCAGUCAUUUGCUAAAUUUAAAAAAGUAUAAGGAUUACAACUCAUUGGCUAUCUUAGUUCAGACCGCUAUAACAAAAAUACCAUAGACCGAGUGGCUUAUAAACAGCAGAGAUUUAUUUCUCACAGUUCUGGAAGCUGAGAAGUCCAAGAUCAAGAUGCCAGUAGAUCUGGAAUCUGUGAGAGGCAGCUUCUUGGCUUGUAGAGGGCUAUCUUUCGAUCAUGUCUUCACAAGACAGAGAGCCAAG
rnacentral:lncRNA from 1 species